rnacentral:rRNA from 1 species
UACAGAGGUGGCAAGCGUUGUUCGGAAUUACUGGGCGUAAAGGGCGCGUAGGCGGCCUUCUAAGUCAGACGUGAAAUCCCCAGGCUUAACUUGGGAACUGCGUCUGAUACUGGCAGGCUGGAAUCCGGGAGAGGGAUGUGGAAUUCCAGGUGUAGCGGUGAAAUGCGUAGAUAUCUGGAGGAACACCGGUGGCGAAGGCGGCAUCCUGGACCGGUAUUGGACGCUGAGGCGCGAAAGCUAGGGGAGCAACGGG